GCCUGGCUAGCUCAGUUGGUAGAGCAUGAGAGCUUUAAUCUCAGGAUUGUGGGUUUGAGCCCCACGCUGGGCA